UACGUAGGGUGCAAGCGUUAAUCGGAAUUACUGGGCGUAAAGCGUGCGCAGGCGGUUUUGUAAGUCUGACGUGAAAUCCCCGGGCUCAACCUGGGAAUUGCGUUGGAGACUGCAAGGCUAGAAUCUGGCAGGGGGGGGUAGAAUUCCACGUGUAGCAGUGAAACGCGUAGAGAUGUGGAGGAACACCGAUGGCGAAGGCAGCCCCCUGGGUCAAGAUUGACGCUCAUGCACGAAAGCGUGGGGAGCAAACAGG
rnacentral:rRNA from 1 species